ACCUCGCCAUCCCACUGCCAAGCUUCUCCACGACGAAAGGCUUCACUGAAUGCUGCACUGGAUUUAUCUACAUGAAGGCAAUAUGCGCUCAAAUUGCUGAUGAUUUUCCUUGGAGACCCUGUUAAUGAAAUAAGAAUCAGGUACAGCAAGAAUGCAGUGUGGUGGAGGAAACAAUGGCAGUUGUCACAAGUUGUUGCUGGUUUGCUAUGUAACUACUUGCAUAUCGCUGUAUUUAGUGAUGUUCACAUUUAUGCACUGUUAAUAAAAAGUAAAAUAAUUCAA